UCACUUGUCACUUAAACCAAUUCACUGUCGCUUCUAGUGAAACAACUGCGCAAACAUAACAUUAGCUCACGCUAGCCAUAAUUGACAAAAAAAAGCAAAGCAGCCGAUCGAAGACGCGUAAAUGUACGCUACGGUGUCACCUCACUAAAUGUUGCUUUUUGACCACUUCUCAAUGCAACUUACCGCCAAUGCGCGUAAAAUACUUCUAACUUUGAUGCUGAAUGCGAUCAGCUGAUGCUGGUGUUUUUCACACCCGAGAACACUUUCGCAGCAAUUUGCGACAGAGACGAACGUUUGGCGGCAAAUGCCUGAAAGCAAAUAUUUACCGUAAAUCGCACAGCAGUGUGGAAGGUGUCAUUAGCUACAACUUUCCUUUUAAGAAAUAUUUAUUAUAUAAUCAGGCCCUGGAAACGACAUAUAUCAUUUGUAGCUGUUACUACCUUACAUGUACGAAUGAGCCCGUUGUUUCUGGUAUACCACAAAUGUUAAAUAAAUGUGGCCAUCCUAUUACUUUCGUUAAAAUAGAAAUGCAAAUGAAGUUGUUUGUCGCUCCACUUUGACACAUUCAAUAUGAAAGAGACAAUUACGUACAACUCGCGGAGAUUUUAUCUAUAUUUUAUGUUUUAAAUUUUUAAAAAUCCUUUUGGUUUAUAAGUGACUAUGAUUCAAGCUGGACUUUCACAAAUUUUAUAAAUAUUCUUAAGAAUGUAGUAAAAUUAUUACUCUUUUAAAUGUAGGACAAACCAAGUUAUUAAAAAAAAAACAGUCAAAAACUUCAUGCUGCUUUGACUAAUGUUUUUACUUAAUGGGACUGACGCAAAAUGGACGACGAGUGACGACGUGCGUCGUCGUUGGCUCACAGCGCGUAUCGUACAUCUAGCCUUAUUUAUGUGAUAUCUACGGUUUGACACAUUUUAACGUCUGUAUCUGGCUAGCUUAGCAUGAAUUAAAAAAAAAACUUUGGGUUUUAAUUCAUUGUCUAUCUCAGCUUUAAUUUAACUUAACACCAUGGACGUUUUACGUCCUCCUCUCAUUAAUAUAAAUGGAAGAAUAUACCGAAGAAAUGUCAUUCAAGAAGAACAGUAUGAGGAGGAAGAAGAUUUCUCCUACAUGGGACCACCAGAGAGCGAGGAGCUGGAGGCAGAGACCUGUGAUAUUCACUGCAUUGAACAGACUGACAAAGGAUUCCGUUGUGCCAUCGACGUGCCAACUGUCCUUUACAAAUACAUCAUUGGAAAAAAGGGAGAAACGCGUAAACGCCUCGAGUCCGACACAAAGACAUCCAUUAACAUCCCCAAGCAAGGAGUGGAAGGACAGAUAGUCGUCACUGGGCCGCACAAAGCUGCAGUCUCCUCCGCCAUCACAAGAAUCGAGGUGCUUGUUGACAACUUUCGGAAGAAGCAGCCUUUCACGCACUUCCUUUCGUUUCCUCUCAAUGACCCAAAAAUCCAAGAGGGAUUCCUGAGGUUUAAAGAUGAAGUCCUUGAGCAAUAUUCACAGAACAACGGCUUAGAUGAAAGCAUCUUUCAGAACCCAGCAAAACUUCACAUGACAGUCGGCACCCUCACUCUAUUGGACGAGUCGGAAGUGAGAAAAGCAUGCGAGCACCUCCGGGAAUGUCAAAACUUCAUCAGAGACAUCACUGGAGGGAAUCCUCUGCCUUUACAAGUGGUGGGAAUUGAAUAUAUGAACGAUGACCCCGCCAUGGUGGACGUCCUGUACGCCAAAGUCAACAUGAAAGACGGCUCUGAUAAGUUGCAGGUGAUUGCCGAUCGCCUGGUGGAGUAUUUUGUCUCUGUGGGACAGAUGACAAAAGAGUGGGAUAGAGUCAAACUACACGGGACUGUGAUGAACACCCUGUUCAGAAAAGGCACUACAGUGGAAGAAACCAGUGGGUCAGGAAGACGAGGGACAAAUGAACGAGAGGCGUUUGAUGCGAGAAACAUAUUAAAGGCAUUUGGAGCUUAUCGUUUCGGAGAACUGGAUCUGAACACAGUAUCACUCUCUCAGCGAUACUCAGCCGACUGCACAGGGUACUACGCCUCUGCAGGAAGUGUCAGCUUUUCCUGAGGUAACCCUGCCCGCGCAGUCCCUUGGAGCUUGGAAUAUUUUUUUUUUUUUUUACAUUUGGGACACUUGGCUACCAGACUAGACUGGUGUCCUAAUGUAUUCUGUCAAAUCGGGAGCAGAAAAGGCUUCAUGCUUCCCCUCUUAUAAUGGUCUUGAAGCAAAAGAGAGACACACCACUGAAUAACAACAUGGAAUUCACACCAAACAAACAGAAAAAACAUGCCUAUAUCAACAUCUAUUCCUUGGCAGAUGUAAUGAAUAACUCUGCGAUUUGUGAGGUUGAGUCGACCUAAUACGAACUAUUUUGAUCGCUGCAUUCCCUUCACCUGAUGUGCCACUUGGAAAGGCCGUGUGACCCAGUUUGCGUCCCAACUUUAGCGUACAGCUGUCAGGGAUGAGUAUUUUCAUUAACACCUCGCCAGAAAAUGUCAAUGCAGUGAAAGGACACGUGCAGAAGAUGUUGCCUGUAUCGGGAACGGGGUCUCAGUUUGAGCUAAAUAAAUCGUCAAAUGCAUUUUUUGGAGUUGGAAUUUUGUCAUCUGGGGAAAAAAAAACAUACUUUAGUUGGUGUGUAUCGCCCUAGUACCUAAUGUCACACGGCAUAUUAAAUCGGCGUCUUUGGGAACUCCAUGUAUGGAAUUUGUUCAAAGAGUGCUGUCAAAUGAAGCUUUUUCUCUUGGAAACUUGAGAUGACACCAAACUUAAGUUUCUGCCAAAUGCUGCAGAAGAGAUCAAGAAACUUCAAUGAGGACUGGUCGUUCCAAAUUAAUCAGUAACUACUUGAAAAGUGCAAGACCUUGAAGUAUAGCAACAGAUUUUAGCCCUGCUUUAUACCCUAUUUUAUUUUGUAUAUUUUUAUAUUAUCUUUCUAUUAAUACAAUGUUUAAAAAAGCUAAAUUAAUUAAGUUAAAAUGAAUAAAAACACAAACAGACUGGUUAUGGCCCCAAGUAACACUCAAGAGUUGAUUUUUUUUUUUAAUAGAAAACAUAGUAUUUAACUGACGUCCAAUUCUUUUUAAUUGGGAGGAUUGGCAGCGAAUGAUCAUCCGUUUUGGACGUGUAUUGCCAUCAAUGGGUGUACUGAUAAUUUGUGCGUGACAGGGUUAAGCCACACUGUCACAUAUGGAAAUACCUCAUAUACUUCUCUGUCCCUGUUUGUCCUAUGAUCAGUUAAGUUUAAAAGGGUAAAGACAACUUCUUAGAUGCUAGGUUGUACCAACAAUGUUCAAGUACAGUAUGAUUCCUUAACGGUACCAACCCUGAGAGCCUUUAUUGUACCUCCAAAGAUGGAUCCAUGCAGUACAUUUUUUCAUGGGAUUUGGAGUCUCUGCCAGUUUGUACAUCCCAGACAGAUCUUUUAUCCCGUUGGUGUCUCAGAGGCGAUUCAAAUAAAAGCACGUUUCAAUGAACGUGAGUUAUUAGCACCCGUUUUAUUCCAGAUGCCUUUCUUGGCAUCAUGCUCACAUUUAUCCACGUCAGCUGCCCCAAUGCUAUGGCUGAAUCUUAUGGUGUCCAGUUUUGGAUGUAUCUCGGCGGGCGCCUUAUGACUGAUGGACGAUAUCAGUCACCGGAUCCGGUGUACGGCAUCGUUGUCAGGGUGUUUCUCCUGGUAUGACUUUGGCUUCUGGACCCAGGAGCUCAUCAUGUGUCUUUGUCGCAUUUCCUGUUUUGAUGCCAAUGUUAAGUCAGCCAGCUCUGCAGCUUCUUAGGAACGUGAUCCUGAACCUCUUGGCCAGCCGCCUCCAGGGCUGGUAACCUUAAACAGAGGUUGUUUGGAGCCAAGUAGGCCGCUGGUUUGCGUUCAUAGUCUUCCCAAAAAUGAAAACGGAGAGUGUUGAGAACUGUGGCGAAUGCUGGCUUUUCAAUGAGGGGAAGCUAAAAGUGUGUCUGCCUGUGAGUGCUUUGUGAUGGUGGAGGUCCUCAGCAGCAUCCGCUGCUUGGUUGGGAAAGAAACUAGAGUGUCGGAAGUCAAGUCUCCAAACACAAGCAUCUAUUAUAUUAAAAAGUAUAUAUAUAAGCUCAAUUUUUCGCCUGUUGUUUUUAACAAAGGAAGCGUCCCUAGGAUGAUUAUGAAAGUUUUCGGUUCAACUCAGAACAACGGAAUGGAAAUUGAAAAAUGCCUCCUGUGGAUGUUAAUACGACAAGCUCACUGAUUUGCUCAUUUUGCUGUCAAUCAAAAUGGGAUUCAGCUCCAGACAGAUCAUCCAAUCAUUAUGCGGAGCCGCCAGCCAACCCCCGUCCACUGCCCAGAGACACAGAGAUAAACCCAGCUUUUAGGCAAUGACUUGUCUCUUUCGCUGUAGUGGAACAAUGCACUCUCAACUCUGGAGACACACUAGCAUCCACACUGUUUAAAAGACUGUGAAGCUACGUGAAUGAAUGAAAAGCAAGCUGCAUCGUAACCACUGAUAAGAAGCUACAAAAGCUGAGUGUGUUGUAGUGCAUGUUUGAUCAAUUAUAUGUACACACAACAGAUCACCAUUUGAUUACUUAUUUUUUGACAUUUUGGGGGAAGCUGUCCGUCCCUUGCAGUCCUAGAGCAUUCACCGCUGGUAGAGAAAAUGUGUGGCUUCAACAUGAUAGGGAAAGGGGGAAAUUCUAAACAUGAUAGCUGGCAAGUAAAGCGGCGCUUACAGGUUUCUCCAUUAAGAAACCAUAAGAGUGGCUUGAAAACCUGAUUUGAAACCACAUUUCUUGUUAAAAACCCGAACCAAAGCUUAAAAACUUAUUCCUAACCCUCAUUUGCAACACCAACUGUGGUUUCAAAUGCAUAUGUUCAACUUAUUGAAAUGAAAAUCAUCAUACACAAUGGCAAAUAAAAAAACAAACAUCUGGGUGACUGAAUCCAAACGGCCAGUCACAUUAAUGAGAUCAACCUUUGUUUACAUUGAUUGUGCUUAAAUCAAUGUCCAUCGGUACCAAUACGGCAAUAAAAUCGAAAUCUAGUUUCGAACCGCCAACUCCAAUUGUGUGGGGUCCAAUCAUUCCUCUGCUGUGAAUUUUAUUACUUGUCGGUGUCCAAUAUAUUUAAGUGGGUGGAAAUGGAUUGGACGUUUAGCACCGUCAAUGACAGACAAUGAGUUUAGCAGUGCCUGACCAAGCCAUGGUAGCAAUUUCUUUACAUUCAAAUGAGUAAGCAGUAAUUUAAUAUUGGAAGAUAAAAAAAAAAAAUUCCCAGAAAACAUGGUAUCGGUACAGUAUCUGUAUCAGCCGAUACCACAAACCCAGGUGUCGGAAUCGGUUUUGGGGGGGGGGAGGUUAUCGGUACAACAUUAGCGAAAAUAUUAACAAAAUUUUAUUUUAUUUAUUUAUUAUUAUUUAUUUUAUUUUUUAUUAAUUUUAAUUUCUAAAAAAUUUUUAAGGUCCGUCCUUGAAAUACAUUUCCGGUUCAGUGUUUUUCCAAAACACACUAUGGUCUACAUUGUGAAUUCAGAUUUUUCGAUUAGAUGAUUAUUUUAAUGUUUUGCAACCAAACACUUGCCUGUAAGUAAGUUUACAACGCAACACAGCGAUGCUAGCGUUUAACCGGUCCGUCACUUAAAUGAGUUCGACAGUUGACCACCACAUUAACAAACACAUUUCGCUUCAACUAGUAGCCUAAAUAUAAUGUUAAAUAUUCAUAUAAAAAGUUGGCUACCAACAGCCAGUAAGACGAUAAAAGAUGGUCGGUUGUAAGCCGUCCGUCACUUAAAUGAGUCUGAUGGUUGACCAACUCUUCGCAUUUUCCCUCUAUAAAUAUAACUAAUAUUAAAACACACUACAAUAUUUUUUCGAAUAUUAAAAUGUGUAAUGAAAUAUACAAUUAAAUGAUUAUGGGAAGUUGGGCCAAGUGGAAUAACGUUACAAAAAAUUCCUAUGACCGAACAGAAGUUAUUACAGCGUGGAUAAAUGUCCGAGUCGUAGCUAGUUACCUAAUGGUCACUUGAAUGUCAUUUAAAACAUCUCAGUUUUUGACCAAAAGUGUCUUAAGAUGAAGCCACAUCAAUUGUCCGCUGGGAAGCGUCACGCCAAGCCUAUUCUCUUCGGGACACUCAUUGUUGGACUGGCCGCUGCCUUCCUAAACAGGCACAAGUUCUUUGAAGACGUAGAGGAUAUGCGAGCGCAGGAGAGAGCAAGGAACAACGCCAAGAAGAUAGAGAUCUUGGAAAGGAGGCACAACAACUGGAGGAGUUGGCCGAAAAAAGAAGUACCUGAACAAGCAUACAAUGGCCUUGAAAUGGAAAACUUCAUGUGGACACUACACAUUAAAUGCUUCUAUAUGUAAUACAUUUGUCAUUUCAA